UACGUAGGGUGCGAGCGUUGUCCGGAAUUAUUGGGCGUAAAGAGCUUGUAGGCGGUUUGUCGCGUCUGCUGUGAAAUCUCAAGGCUCAACCUUGAGCUUGCAGUGGGUACGGGCAGACUAGAGUGCGGUAGGGGAGACUGGAAUUCCUGGUGUAGCGGUGAAAUGCGCAGAUAUCAGGAGGAACACCGAUGGCGAAGGCAGGUCUCUGGGCCACUACUGACGCUGAGAAGCGAAAGCAUGGGGAGCGAACAGG
rnacentral:rRNA from 1 species